CACUGACAACCACCAGUUGAGUCCAUGAUUCAGGGAAGAGACAGUCUGGGCAGCAGCAACAAGACAACUAUUACAAGUAGAGAUGGGUUUCAAGAACUGGUACUAAUUUGGUUCCUGACUUGUUCGACACAACCACAUAUCCUCCAAAUCAUCUCUGCCUGGAUGGCAGCAAGGAUCCAGGAUCAAGAGAUCAUUCUUCAUGGAGACUGUUCCACAGGAAGCAGUUUCUCCUGGGUGAAAAACUAAACCUGGUUGUUUCAGCAUCA